CUAACCCCAGAACCUACUGCCUUCUGGAAGAUUUCCAUUCCUAAGACGGGAGGGUGGACUGUCCUUGGGUCUGAGAGACUGACUUUGGGGGGAAGAAGGGGCAAGGAAGCCUGAGGACUCAGGAAAGGCUGCUCAAACCAAUCCCCUGUGAAUGAAUGUUGUGGUGGUGAUGGGAGGUGUAAGCUGGUCCUGGUACCAUCUUGGAUGAAGUACCUUUGAACCUUGGCAAUUAAACAAGAGACAUGGGAAAAGGUGAUGGGUUUUAUUGGAAGAAAGAGGUGAAUCGCAGCUUUACACCUGAGCCAUUAUCUGGAUUGAGAUCGUGGGUGCCUUGGGGUCCCUGUGGAGGGCAGCCCCUUUGUCUCUUUCACCACGGCCCACCCCUGGGUUCCUCAUGCACAAAGUGCCCAGGAGGUGGCAGCAGAAGCUUACCUCCUAGGUACACUCACCUCCAGGCUGCCAUCACCAAGCUGCCAGCUCACACCUGGUCCUCCCCAAAGGGCACUGGUGUGUCUGGGAAACAUUCUGAAAGGCUGCGUGUCAAUUUAGUGGUUAGUGGCAAAGGAGCCACCCAGAGCCCCAGGAAAUCCCUAGGUUCGCUCUGGCCCUCUGGGUGCCCCAUCUUCCAACGCUUCCCCCUGCCACCCAGGAAAAACCCGACCAGGGCAGCUCAGGAUAAACAGAUGGGCAGGCUCCAGGGUGAGGACAGAUUGGUGGCGAGCCAGGAGGGAAUCAGUGCUACCAGGCUCUGAAAUCAUCUUCUGCCCCCAGGCAGGAGGGAACCCUGCCUUUCCCAAAGAGCUGGGGAUGGAUCAGCAGCACCAGGGGAAGCCUGGGCUUUGUUAUUGCUUUUGGUGGGGAGUGAGGGUGGCUCGAGCUCGCACAGAAGAGCUCGUACCAUCAUCUUUCUCCUCACUAUCAGUGGGAAGAGGCACAGCUGUGGGUGAGCAGAGGCAGAGCGGGCUGGGGUUGCCCAGGGCAUCACAAGCUUGUGGGUCCCCCUCAUGGCAGACAGAAGGGAGGGAAGGGAGAAGCCCUGUGAGGCAAAGCAGACACUACUGGUAGGUGUGUCUAUAGGCGUGUGUAUGUGUGUGUAUGUGUCCCUAGGUAUACUUACCCAUGUGAACAAAAGCAGAGGCUGGUGUGUCUCUUUGGGUGUAACUGGGCGGCUGCCUUGGGCUGGGGAGCAUGGUUGAAGGGGGAAGGAUUCGAAUGCAGAGCUAAGGAAGGGGUUAGCCACCUGAGAGCAGAAAUGCUAACUGUAUUAAAUAAAUACUCCGAGGCAUCGAUAGGAAAGCCCCGAAGGGCCAGAGAAAAGCACAGAGAGCCACGUCUAUAGCACAGAUGCCCACGAGAGGUGAGGGCUGAACACGGAGUUAUUCAUACAAGAGAGGGUGCCUGUGGUCUAACCAGAGAGCCAAGAUUAAUACACAUGAAAAAGAUAAUUGACAAUAUAAAACAGUGAAUCGUGCUAAGGCAAAAGAAAACUUCCCUUCAGCUUCUCCCCACAACUACCCACUAAAG